rnacentral:rRNA from 1 species
GAUGAACGCUGGCGGCGUGCCUAAUACAUGCAAGUCGAGCGAACGGACGAGAAGCUUGCUUCUCUGAUGUUAGCGGCGGACGGGUGAGUAACACGUGGAUAACCUACCUAUAAGACUGGGAUAACUUCGGGAAACCGUAGCUAAUACCGGAUAAUAUUUUGAACCGCAUGGUUCAAAAGUGAAAGACGGUCUUGCUGUCACUUAUAGAUGGAUCCGCGCUGCAUUAGCUAGUUGGUAAGGUAACGGCUUACCAAGGCAACGUUGCAUAGCCGACCUGAGAGGGUGAUCGGCCACACUGGAACUGAGACACGGUCCAGACUCCUACGGGAGGCAGCAGUAGGGAAUCUUCCGCAAUGGGCGAAAGCCUGACGGAGCAACGCCGCGUGAGUGAUGAAGGUCUUCGGAUCGUAAAACUCUGUUAUUAGGGAAGAACAUAUGUGUAAGUAACUGUGCACAUCUUGACGGUACCUAAUCAGAAAGCCACGGCUAACUACGUG